UGGGGAAUAUUGCACAAUGGACGAAAGUCUGAUGCAGCAACGCCGCGUGGAGGAUGACACAUUUCGGUGCGUAAACUCCUUUUAUAUGAGAAGAUAAUGACGGUAUUAUAUGAAUAAGCACCGGCUAACUCCGUGCCAGCAGCCGCGGUAAUACGGGGGGUGCAAGCGUUACUCGGAAUCACUGGGCGUAAAGAGCAUGUAGGCGGAUUAAUAAGUUUGAAGUGAAAUCCUAUAGCUUAACUAUAGAACUGCUUUGAAAACUGUUAAUCUAGAAUGUGGGAGAGGUAGAUGGAAUUUCUGGUGUAGGGGUAAAAUCCGUAGAGAUCAGAAGGAAUACCGAUUGCGAAGGCGAUCUACUGGAACAUUAUUGACGCUGAGAUGCGAAAGCGUGGGGAGCAAACA
rnacentral:rRNA from 2 species